rnacentral:misc_RNA from 1 species
UGGCUCUGGCAUCGAUGAAGAACGCAGCGAAAUGCGAUAAGUAAUGUGAAUUGCAGAAUUCAGUGAAUCAUCGAAUCUUUGAACGCACAUUGCGCCCGCCAGCAUUCUGGCGGGUAUGCCUGUUCGAGCGUCAUUACAACCCUCGGGACCCCCCUCCCCUCGCGGGGGGGCGGGGACCCGGUGUCGGGGCACCUUCCGGCGCUCGCGCGCUGGAGCCCUCAGAGCAAUCGGCGGACCGUCGCGGGAUCCGGGCGCAGUAACACACCUCUCGCCCUGGUGACCGCGGCGGCCUCCCGCCGCUAAACCCCCCCAAAUAACCAAGGUUGACCUCGGAUCAGGUAGGAAUACCCGCUGA